GCCUAUUUAGCUCAGUUGGUAGAGCGCAAGGCUCUUAACCUCGCGGUCGUGGGUUUGAGCCCCAUGGUGGGCA
rnacentral:tRNA from 1 species